AUUGAACGCUGGCGGUAUGCUUAAGACAUGCAAGUCGUGCGGUAGAAGGCUUCGGCCUUUGAGAGCGGCGGACGGGUGAGUAACACGUGGGAAUCUGCCUAUUAGUGGGGGACAGCCCAGCGAAAGCUGGAUUAAUACCGCAUACGCCCUACGGGGGAAAGCAGCAAUGCGCUAAUAGAUGAGCCCGCGUAAGAUUAGCUAGUUGGUAAGGUAAAGGCUUACCAAGGCGACGAUCCGUAGCUGGUCUGAGAGGAUGAUCAGCCACACUGGAACUGAGACACGGUCCAGACUCCUACGGGAGGCAGCAGUGGGGAAUAUUGGACAAUGGGGGCAACCCUGAUCCAGCCAUGCCGCGUGUGUGAAGAAGGCCUUCGGGUUGUAAAGCACUUUUGUUGGGGAAGAAACCGGCCGGGUUAAUACCCUGGUUGAAUGACGGUACCCAAAGAAUAAGCACCGGCUAACUUCGUG
rnacentral:rRNA from 1 species